UUUAAGUGUAAUUGUUGGCUUCUGUGUCAAACAUUUGACUAUUCAUCUUAUUUGAAAUUUUUUAUGAUUAGUAUUUUUGUUGUUAUUAGAUGACAAAACAUGAAUAGUACUUUAUGAGUGGCUUUUUUUUUUAAUUUUUUCAUAAAUUUUUCAAAUAAGACGGACGGUUAAAGUUAGACACGGAAACUCACAACUGCUCCUAGA
rfam:Oryza rufipogon genomic scaffold, chr11